rnacentral:misc_RNA from 1 species
CCCACUUUUGAAUACGUUUGUCCGAUGUUGUCUCACAUCCGGGUACAUAUUAAAUCGUUCUUUCUGUUCCUGGAUGUGGCGAAUCUUCGCUUACUGAAUCAAUUAAGUACAAGUUAUUACCUUCAAUAGUAAUUUCAUUAGAAGCUGAAAGUCAUUUAUUACUUCAAAUAUGUUACGACAGGUAGUAGGAGCAAUUGGAUCUCUCAGAAUUAGGACAUACGGGGCUAGUUAUCACAGUGGAAAUUAUAGAAGUACUAAAGAAAGAGGAUCUACAUAUGGAAAUGUUACCAGUAAUAAAAAUGGACGAUAUGAUAAUCGUAACAAAAAUAAUAUGCAUACUGCUCUUGGAACCUUGAAGAAACCAAAUUGGAACUUCGAAAAUUUAAAGCCUUUUAAGAAAGACUUCUAUAUACCACAUCCAAAUGUUCAAGCACGUCAUCCACAGGAAGUAGACAUAUUUAGACAAGAAAAUCAAAUUACCCUCAAAGGAGAGAAAAUUCCUAAUCCUAUACAACAUUUUGAAGAAGGAAAUUUCCCUGAGCAUGUAAUGCAAUGUAUCAGAAAGCAAGGGUUCAGUGAACCAACUGCUAUUCAAGCUCAAGGAUGGCCAAUUGCUAUGUCUGGGCACAAUAUGGUUGGAAUAGCACAAACUGGAUCUGGGAAAACUUUAGGAUAUAUACUACCUGCUAUAGUACACAUUAGCAGUCAACAGCCUCUAAAUCAUGGUGAUGGACCAAUUGCUCUUAUUUUAGCACCAACUAGAGAAUUGGCACAGCAAAUUCAGAAAGUUACUUACGGUUUUGGUUAUGUGAGAAGCACUUGUAUUUUUGGUGGUGCACCAAAAGGAAAUCAAGCUCGUGAUUUAGAACAAGGAGUUGAGAUUUGCAUUGCUACACCUGGACGAUUAAUUGACUUUUUGGAACGUGGUACAACUAAUUUACGCAGAUGCACAUAUUUGGUAUUAGAUGAAGCAGAUAGAAUGUUAGAUAUGGGUUUUGAACCACAGAUCCGAAAAAUUAUUGAACAAAUCAGGCCAGACAGACAAGUUUUAAUGUGGUCUGCAACUUGGCCAAAAGAAGUUCGAAAUCUUGCAGAGGAAUAUCUUGUAGACUAUACACAAUUGAACAUUGGAUCAUUAACAUUAUCAGCUAAUCACAAUAUUCUUCAAAUUGUUGAUGUUUGUGAGGAACAUGAAAAACAAAUAAAAUUGCAAAACCUCCUUCAAGAAAUUAGUAAUGUUAAUCCAGAUGGCGGAAAAACAAUAAUUUUUGUAGAAACGAAAAAAAAAGUGGAAAGUAUCACUAAAAUUAUUCGUCGUUAUGGUUGGCCAGCAGUAUGUAUACAUGGUGAUAAAUCUCAAUUGGAAAGAGAUUUUGUCCUUACAGAAUUUAGAAGGAAUAAGGAUGCAAUUCUUGUAGCAACAGAUGUUGCUGCCCGUGGAUUGGAGGCACAUGGUGCACAAAUUGUAUUGAGUGUGCGAUGAAAAACGAUCGUUCAAUAAAGAAAACAUGGCUCACUCAUUGUACAUGCGCAAUUCUGUUUUGCACAUAAUAUUGUACUUAAUGUGCCUCUGUGUUCAGCCUGUGUACCACGCAAGUAGUAGAGUGGUGCGCGGGUGGUACUGCUGUCGGCGCUGGUUGGUUGUGAGAUAAGACCGUGGUUUACAUUUUGGUACAACCAUCACACUUCAUAGCCAAUGCUCAGCCCGUAUCAGAGACAACAAUCUAUUGAUUUUGCUACUAUCGCUACUCGGUGGUGAUGCUUAGGACACGACGUUGCGAUGUGAAGUUGCAUUUAAGAAUAGCACACAUCGUGGGGCGCUCUGUAUGCAGUCAUACGGAACGCAAUGUUCAACAAUAAAAGGAUGUCGACGACGUAAAGUACGUGAUCAACUUCGAUUAUCCGACUUCAUCUGAAGACUACAUUCAUAGAAUUGGUAGAACGGG